UACGUAGGGGGCAAGCGUUGUCCGGAAUCAUUGGGCGUAAAGAGCGUGUAGGCGGCUUGGUAAGUCAGCUGUGAAAGUCCAGGGCUCAACCCUGGAAUGCCGGUGGAAACUGUCAAGCUUGAGUCCGGAAGAGGCGAGUGGAAUUCCUGGUGUAGCGGUGAAAUGCGCAGAUAUCAGGAGGAACACCAAUGGCGAAGGCAGCUCGCUGGGACGGUACUGACGCUGAGACGCGAAAGCGUGGGGAGCAAACAGG
rnacentral:rRNA from 1 species